GGUAUUUUAGUCUAUUCAGAGGAAUUUGUCCCUUAAUCGAUAAUCCCCGUUUUAUCUUUCUUAUUUUAGUAAUCAGUUUGUAUACCGCCGUUAUAAGUUUAUAUUUUUAGAUUUAAUUGACUUUUAAUUUUAUUAUUUUUUAUUUCAGGUCAAGGUGCAGUUAAUAUUUAAGUGGAGAUGAAUUACAUUAUUUUUGAAUAUAUGGAUUUUAUUUUGAAAAUUUUUGAAUGAAAGUGGAUUUGAUAGUAAUUUUAACUAUAGUAUUAUUUUGAUUUUAGCUCUAAAAUAAGUACACAUCGCCCG
rnacentral:rRNA from 1 species